AGAAGACAGCAAGAAGUUCCAGACUUCGUGGCCCGUUUUCAAGCCCUUCCCGGCCUCCGUUGGUGUCGCCACUUCAGGGUUUAUCGACCGCCUUGGCGUCGUGGUCGCCGUGAACUCACCGGCGCGCAAAACCGGUCCCUAGAUGGCGGAUCCUCCGGAGCUUUUUGGUAGACCAGUGAGGGUCGCUGAGAGGAUUUUCGACUUCGCCGAUCCCGACUGAAGAGCUGGCGAAUGGACCUGUCUAGCUGAUCUUAGGACGGCCUAGUUUUUUAGGACUGAUCUUCUAUAGAUCUUUUGUAAAUAGCCUAGUCCUGUAAAUGAACUGGUUUGAUAUGUAUAAAAAGUAUGUGGUUGGUUUUAAAAAUGUGAUCCUGCUUUUCUA